GGAGCCCCAUCCAUCUAUCACACGUGUAGACAAAGGGGGGGACUCCACAACACUAAGCUGCGUGGGUCCUUCCAAACUUUACUUCUCCUCCUCCAAGACGCGCGGAGCAGAGCACCAUCAAUAAAAGUUGCCGCUCUUGUUGGUGCGUCAGCGCUCAAAGUUGAGCACAAAGCAGCAGAGGUAGAGCGACAUAGAGAGAGAGAGAGAGAGAGAGAGAGAGAGAGGUAGAGAGAGAGAGAGAGGAGCGGUCCUCUUUUCCUUUGUCCGAUGCUCUGUCUCAAGCUUUUUUGGGAGACGACUUGAAAGGAUUUCGUCAUGACCAUCAAAAACUGGACUACAAAGAGGAAUGUUUUCCAAAUUUUGGGGAGAACGACGGAGGAACAAACUCCAGAGUCCUAUUUGAAGAAGCUUUAAGGAUUAAGAGACAGAACACUUUUAUUUUGGAUAAGCUGAAGAACUCAUACGGAUUCAAACCUAAGCACCAGGAGCAGCUUUGCCUAGAGGGAUGCUUUCAAGGCAUACUUGGAAAUGUAGGCAACAAAAAAAAAACCUGGAUAUACUUUGGAGAUUAAAGGAAUGUGAUGGUCUCCUUCUGCACUUCGGCUUAAACUCACUGAGAUGGCAGACUAUUGCAUUUCCGUCCUUCAUAAUAGGUGCAUGUCUUUGGAGGUGGAAGGAAGCCGGAGAACCCACGCAGUCACGGGGAGAACAUGCAAACUCCACGCAGAAAGAUCCCGAGUGCAGGAUCGAACCCAGGACCUUCGUAUUGUGAGGCAGACGCAUUAACCCCUGUACCACCGGGCUGCCCCAAUAUAGGUUGCCAAUUGAUCCACGGACCGGUACCGGGCCGCAGCCCGGUGGUUGGGGACCACUGCACUAGAAGACUGCUUGUAAAAUGCCCUUAAAAAGUGGUAGAUGUCUCCUGCUUGUUUGAAAACAGCAAAACGCCACAGGGACCGUGGGAGUGCUGAGGUGUAAGGGAUCAUGACCUUAAUUUUCUCCAAGACAGACGUUUAAUUAACACAAGAGGAAUCUUCGCCGGCUGCAGACCGACAAUUGGAAUGUUCAGGGGAAUUAAGACAUGUGAGCAGGAGGGCAUGAGAAGAGAAGCAAUAAUAGCAGACGGGGUGGAGGCUGGCCGACAGGAGAUACCACAAUGUCCAAAUAAGCAGAAACGCACCAGAUCUUUGGAGGAUGUUUACUAAGCUGACACAUUAUGGCUCAACCAUUUCAUUUUCUACCUGAAACAUCCACGGUGCAGGAAGGAACAAUACCACAACUGCAGUACUUACUGUGACACUAUGUGGGACAACAGCAAGUCAUAUUUUGUGACAUUAUCAAAGACUAAAAACAGUUUAAAAAAAAUACCAUCCUGUACACUGUUAUUAUUCAGAAAAAACGGUUUAAAUGGAC